rnacentral:rRNA from 1 species
UACGGAGGGUGCAAGCGUUAUCCGGAUUCACUGGGUUUAAAGGGAGCGUAGGUGGGCUGGUAAGUCAGUGGUGAAAUCUCCGUGCUUAACAUGGAAACUGCCAUUGAUACUACUGGUCUUGAAUUUUCCGGAGGUAAGCGGAAUAUGUCAUGUAGCGGUGAAAUGCUUAGAUAUGACAUAGAACACCAAUUGCGAAGGCAGCUUACUACAGGGACAUUGACACUGAGGCACGAAAGCGUGGGGAUCAAACAGG